GCACGCGCCCCGCCCGCCCCGCGCACGCGCGUGCCCCCCGGUGUCACGUGAUGCGGGCGCGGGGCGGGCGAAACCCCGGUCGCCAUGUUGGAUGAGGGCAGCGUAUCUCUGGCAAGGUGGGGGUGUUUAUUGGGGGUCCCGAUGAGUCCCAGGAUUCUCGGUGACUCCCGGUGUCUCCCAUGGAACGGCAGAACAGGAUCCGGCAGAACCAUUCUGGCAAUUAACGGGGCGGGCAGUACCCAUUUGAGACACGCGGGUAAGGGACUCCUGGGAGCUCCCCCAGACCUGCGGGACUCAGAGAUCUGGGGAGAUCUGCUGGGCUUUCCUGCCUUCCAGAAUUCCUGGGCCAUCACCUUGGGUGUCCCCUCCCAGAGCCCUCAGUCACCUUGGGUGUCUGUGAAAAAUGGAAGAAACAAACUUCUUCCUGCCUUGCUCAUUCCUGAAGAUGCCGUCAGGAUUCAGAGGAAGAAGCUGGCACUGCCCAGACAGAAUCCUGUGUUUGAAUGGAAUUUAUGCAUCAUGGAUGAGGGAGACCCCUGCUGAUAAGAGGCCAUUGGAUGUCCCUGCAUGGCUGAUAAGAACUGCAGCAUCCCACUGGGAGAUGUGAGCCUAGGGGGAGGAGCCAAGCAUUCCUAACUGGAUAUAGUCUGGAGAUUCUGAAACACCAGCACAGCUUCUCCACUGGAUUUCCCAGAGGAACAGCAGCUGCCUCUUCCCCUGGACCUUCAGAGGCAGAGUGCACCCUUCUCCAGGAUCCCUGCUCCAGCAGAACCACCCCUGGCAUUGCAGGAGGGCUGAGCCACAAUUCCAAUGGCACUGCUGCCAGCACCCUGACCCACAGGGUGUCAGGCUGUGCUCUGACUCUGUCAGUGUGGGUUUGAUUUACUGCAUUGUUUAUUUUAUCUUUUAAUUUUCUUCCCUAUUAAAGAACUGUUAUUCCCUGCUCCCUUAUUUUUUGCCUGAGAGCCCCUUAAUUUAAAAUUUACAGCAAUUCAGAGGGAGGGGGUUUGCAUUCUCCAUUUCAGGGGAGGCUCCUGCCCUCCUUAGCAGACACCUGUCUGUUCAAACCAAGACACCUUGUCAGAGGGAGUCUCUGGCAGCACACGGAGAUUCCUUUCUAUUCCAGCUCUGCUUGGAAAGCUGGGUGCCUGCGCCUCAACCAUCCUCCUCUCCUGCAAUACUCCUGUCUUAUCUCCUGCUUUCACAGCUGCAGAAUCCUCCUGAAAAGCUGCCAGGAUUGCAAGGGGCAAGUGCAGCUUGCACAGAGCUGCUAAUGAGCCUGUCAGAUCCGAUGGCACCCAGAGGGUCUGCCUUAACUCUCUGCGUGCAUCUAUCGGUAAAAAUCAGCACAAUAUUCACCCCAGCUCGGGGCAAGUGCUGCAGAUUCCUCCUCUCCAUGCUGGGAAGCGCGGGGAGUGUGCCAGCAGCUACCAGCCAGCAGCAGAACAGGGCUUGGAGAAGUUCACCAUGGAUAAACCACAGCCUGGAGCAGCUCCUUGACCGCAUCCAACUCUUCCUUUGGAGAGGAUUUGUGACCGGGUUUCUGCCCUUCUGCUGCCUCCAGCUCCAGGACACGAACCGCAGCCGCCUCUUCCACGUCCCUCAAGCAGACCUAGCCUGGAAAACUCUCCCGGCAGCAGCACAGCGCCAGCCCCUUCCACGGCGUGUCCCCCAACGAGACCUGCCACCCACAACCGGCGACUCUUUCCUUUGACCCUCCUAAAGCCACCGUGUGACCCCUGGGACGCCCUGGUCCAGGUCCCGGAGCCCAGAAUCGCCCCCGAAGCCCGGAACUGCCCCGGGGCCCAGAGCCGCUCCCGGGGCCCAGAACUGCCCCUGAGCCCGGGACCGCUCCCGGGGCCCAGAACUGCCCCUGAGCCCGGGGCCGCUCCCGGUUCCUUCGGCGCCGCUUCCCGGACCGGGGCCUCGCCUCCUCACGGCCCCUGUGACGUAACCGCCGCGCCGCCGGCUGCGAUUGGUCGCUUCUGUCCCCGCGCCUGCGCACUGCUUCGGCUGAAGAGGCGAUUCCGGGUUGCUGGGGUUCGGCACGGCCGCUCGCGGUGCUCCCGGUGUUCCCGGUGCUCCCGGUAUCCCCGGUUUCCCUGGUCGGGCAGUUCCACCCCUCCGCCACCCGCGUGAUGUCUGAGGCGGCGCGGGCGGGGCGGCGGACACGGGAGCGAGCGCUGCGCGUGCGUGAGGCGCGCUGCUCCCGGCGCCCCCUGGCGGCCGCCGUCGGUGCCCCUCAGGCGCUGGGAGCCUGCGGGCUCCUCCGUCCCUGAGGGAUCGCUGGGGCUGGAAAAGCGCUCCGGGAUCACCAAAUCCGGGAUCACCAAAUCCGACCUGUGACCCGUCCCCACCUUGUCACCAGCGCACAGCAUUCCUUGUCCACCUCCAGGGCUGGCACUCCAAACCGCAGCGGGCAGUUUCAGCCCCUGACCGCCCUUCCCAUGGGGAAAUUCUGCUGAUUUCCAUCCCGAGUUCCCCUGGCCCAGCCUGAGGCCGUUCCCUCUCCUCCUGUCCCUGUUCCCUGGAGCAGAGCCCGACACCCCCGGCUGUCCCCUCCUGGCAGGAGCUGUGCAGAGCCAGAAGGGCCCCCUGAGCCUCCUUUGCUCCAGGCUGAGCCCCUUCCCAGCUCCCUCUCCAGGCUGAGCCCCUUCCCAGCUCCCUCAGCCCCUCCUGGGGCUCCAGCCCCUGCCCAGCUCCGUUCCCUUCCCUGGACACGCUCCAGGUCCUGCCGGGAUUGCCCCAGAGCUGUCCCCAUCACUGGAGGUGCACCAGCAGUGCCAGCUCAGGGGAUGGGCACUGCCCUGCUCCUGCUGUCACACCAUGGCUGGCACAAGGUGCCCUUGGCUUUGCCCACCUGGGCACACCUGGGCUCGUGUCCAGCCACUGUCCCCCGCACCCCCAGGGCCUUUCCCAGUUUUCCAGCCCCUCUUCCCCCAGCCUGGAGACCCAAGGGCAGGGCUGGGCACUUGGCUUCGCUGACCCUCACAGUUCUGCUGCCACCCUACGGAUCCAGCCUGUCCUGGUCCCUCUGCAGAGGCUCUGCAGA